CCAAAUAAAACCCAAUUAACAUGGUAAAACCCAUUAAAACCCAUGGGUUUUAUAAUUUUUGAUUAAAACCCUGGGUUUUUUCGAACCCUGGUGGGACAGGAGGAUAACAAGUAGUACAUAAACCUCUCUCUCUCUCUCCUUCAACUAAAAAGGGGACAACGAUAACGACGACGACUUGUCAACUUUUCAUCCGGACAGGACACACACACACAAUCAUCUCGUCUUUGUCUCUCUCGACUCCAUUGAAUUUGGCCUGGCUGGCUGGAUGGAUGGAUUACUUUCGGAUUGAAUGGAUGGAUCGUAGUCCAGGCGACAAUCGCGAAACUGCGACGCUUUGACAAGUCCAGAAUGAAGACUGACUUGGGACUAGAAAAUGUCCUCUGUUUGGAAUAAUGUGGAGAAAAUGGACUAAUUUUAGCCAGCCAUCCAGUCCACUGGCUUGAGCGACAUGCCACUAAACGAUUCAUCCCUAAUCAUAUUACUUAGUGACUGCAUGCAGUGUGGCGGUGAAGUAUAUUGUAAUAAAGUAAAAGCGGUGGAGUGGAUGCAAUAAUGAAAUUGAAAAUGGUUGGUUUGCCACUUGUCAGUUAUUUUAGCGACAGGAAAGCAGGGACAAACAUUUGCAGAUUAUGUACGGGAGAGAGGAAAAAAGUGGGAAUAUUUAGUAGCACACGGUAGACGGUGGAGAAUCCAGUAGAUUCGUGGACGUGGAGCUAUGUGCAAACAAACGUGUGUUCUUCCAUCCAACCGUUCUAUUUUGGUUUGAGGGAACAUUAGCCGAGGAAGAGAAAGACACAUUCAAUUUACUUCAUUUCGCUCAGGAUGAGCAAUAUGUAGCAAUCGGGUAAAGACAUAAAGUACGCAAAAAAAAUGUGGGUAUAGUUACAUAGUUGUGCAAUGCAAUAUUUAUUAUGUAUGGGAUGGGAUGAUGACAUGAAAUAUUGUACCGUUCUGGGAAAGAUGCACUGUUAGAAAUCUGGUGUAAUUAAGGUGGUAUUGGUUUGUUGGUAGUAAAGUUGAUACCGAUUGGUAUUAAAGUGCGUUGUUAUACCGUUAAGUAAAAAAUAUGAUAAAACAUUAAUGCCGAGCUACAUUGCUUAUCAAUAUCGCUUUGGUAGAGUCAUAUGAAUACAGCUUGGUAUUGUUUUAACCCAGGAUUUCUAAGAGUGCGUUUGGUUUGGUGGAUUGGAUUGGAUUUGGAUACAUGCAAAUAUUCACGUUGCAGUAAAAAUGAAUGAUACUCUGUUUUUUUGCAUAAUAUUUGGAGUAGAAGAAGUAGCUUUUAUAUACAAGUUUAGUGAGCUUACAGUGGUUUUAUUUAGCAGAGAAGAAGCCAUGAAAUUAUACUAGCAGCGUUUCCCUCGCAGAGAAAGAAAGAAACAGUCACAAAUAUGUGGUGCAAGCAAACCCUCCUGUUUAAUAAUAUCCCUCUUUUUUAUGUAGGAUUGAACCUAAACACGGAGAAUUGGUUUUGCGAAUGGUAGGAUUUAUAUACAAGUUCGCUAAUAUUUAUGGGUUUUCUAUCCAGUUUACGCUACUUUCUUCCACCCAGAAGAGGAGGAGAUGAUAAUGAAGUGAAAUAAGAUGCCAAUCUUUUCGAGAGAUGUGUGUGUGAUUUUGAUUCAUGAGAUGUUUUUCAUAGUCCCAGUUUUAGUGUCGUGAUCUGUUACUUUCUGUGUAUAUUAACUUAGAAGCAAAAAAUAAGCUGAAUAAAUGUCUGAUUUACAGACAAGACAUGAA